rnacentral:sRNA from 17 species
ACCUGCGCUUUCGCAACUGGUCUGCUUAUGACAGACGGCGUAUGGAACCCGGUGCGAUUCCGGGACGGUUGCGCCACUGUGAACUCGCGCCCGCGGGUCAGUCAGACACGUCGCCGUCGAGCCAUAGCCCGAC